CCUGCUGGUGCCUCCCUCCCUGGCGCGGUUCCCACCUGCGAUCGGCGCCCUCUUCGCAGUCACGAACUCGCCAGCAGCUAGCAGCACUGACUAGUAGGAGGGCCCGCCGGAGGAGAGGACAUGCUCUGGAGUCAGAAGACGGCGAAAAGAGAAGCAGAAGCCUCGGUGGCAAGAGUCCGAAGCUGGAAAGGAGGAGAACAUGAAACGUUGCUUGAAGACAAUGGCCGAGACAGCAGGUCCCACCCUGCACAGCCACCAGCAUCUCUCCCCUCAGCCCUGUCUCCUCUUCUGCAGUUGGGAUCUGCACAUUUAAGCCCCAAAUUGUCCUGUGAAGUGAAGUAUGAUCGGACAGCCUCUUUUCAGCUUUUAUGAAAAUGGAGACAGAGGAAUUGUGGCUCUUGCCAAGGUCACAGGAUUGGAAUGCAGAGCCAAGCCACCCCAGGACAUGCAAGAGCCUCAGAAGGGAAAAAGCCCAGCAGGAAGGGAGAACAAGUAGCCUCUGUCCUGAGGUUGUAACAGCCAAGGGCCAGGAUGGAGGAGGAGGACCCCAUGAUCUGCCCAUCUGGCACUUGGCAGGGGACCUGGGAAAAUGUACCCCAACCCAU
rnacentral:lncRNA from 1 species